AAGUCGUAACAAGGUUUCCGUAGGUGAACCUGCGGAAGGAUCAUUAUUGAAUAUUCUUGAUGAGUUGUAGCUGGCUCUCCGGGGCAUGUGCACGCUUGUCUUGAUUCUAUUCAUCCACCUGUGCACCUUUUGUAGUCUUGGGGGUUGAAAGCAGUCGACUAUCGGAUGGCUACGGCUACUCCGGAUGUGAGAAAUGCUGAGCGCAGAGACGCAUACAGCUCUUCUCAAAUGACUUGCAUACCCUUGAGUACUAUGUAUUCAUAUACCACGUCGUAUGUUGCAGAAUGUGAUCAAUGGGUCUAUGUACCUAUAAUAAUCAUAUACAACUUUCAGCAACGGAUCUCUUGGCUCUC
rnacentral:misc_RNA from 1 species